UCAUAGUUAGCUCAGUUGGUUAGAGCGUGUAUGUUCACGAAAACUCGCACACAUCUGUUCAACGACUAAUGAAACUCCAGGGUGCUAAUAACGCCAAGGUCGCGAGUUCGACCCUCGUAGUGAC